ACGGGGGGUGCAAGCGUUGUUCGGAAUUAUUGGGCGUAAAGAGCGUGUAGGCGGCAGGAUGUGUCAGAUGUGAAAGCCCUGAGCUCAACUUAGGAAGUGCAGUUGAAACUGUCAGACUUGAGUAGGGAAGAGGAAGGUGGAAUUCCUGGUGUAGAGGUGAAAUUCGUAGAUAUCAUGAGGAACACCGGUGGCGAAGGCAGCUUCCUGGCGCUAUUCUGACGCUGAGACGCGAGAGUGUGGGUAUCAAACAG
rnacentral:rRNA from 1 species